rnacentral:rRNA from 1 species
UACCAGCACCCCGAGUGGUCGGGACGUUUUAUUGGGCCUAAAGCAUCCGUAGCCGGUUCUACAAGUCUUCCGUUAAAUCCAGCUGCUUAACAGAUGGGCUGCGGAAGAUACUAUGGAGCUAGGAGGCGGGGAGAGGCAAGCGGUACUCGAUGGGUAGGGGUAAAAUCCGUUGAUCCAUUGAAGACCACCAGUGGCGAAGGCGGCUUGCCAGAACGCGCUCGACGGUGAGGGAUGAAAGCUGGGGGAGCAAACCGG